rnacentral:tRNA from 1 species
GCGGGCGUCGUAUAACGGCCAUUACCCUUGCUUCCCAAGCAAGAGACGAGGGUUCGACUCCCUUCGCCCGCUCCA